AGAUAAAAUAAAAUAAAAGCUUUAUUAUCUGAGUUAUUAUUUAAUAAAUUCAAGCAAAUUAUUACACUAUAACACUGUAAAUUCAGCAUUUACAUGUAUGCCAUGUAUAUUUUUUACAGAUAUUUUAAUACAUGUAUACUAAGAUUCUAAGCAUUUGUUUGUGUUUAUUUUCUUAUCAAUCUUUCACAAUAAACAUGAUAAAAGAUAUCAAUAUCCAUUAAACAUAAAAAGUUGCUUAAUAGGGGAACCUGAUUAUAAUCAAAUUAACUACUUUUACUAGUUUGUCUACAUGAAUGUUAAGGGUAGUUAAAGCAGUUGAUUCAGAACCAUGGGCAAUACAAUUUGUAGCAGAUUUAUCUACUGGUACAAAUACUCAAAUACUAAUACUAGACAAGCACUCCUACAGUAAGAGAGCCAUACAGGUGCUAUCUAAACAAGCUUGUAAUCUAGUAAGCGUAAGAGAAAGUCCACAGACUGAAUACAUAAAUAUCAAAAAUAGGAAGUGGGGAUUGCAGAAAUGCCAUCUGAAGAAGAAAUAGACAAUACCAAUGCUGAUGAUACAGAAGCUAUAACAGCAUUAAUGUCAAUAUAAAAUUCACUAAAAUAUACUAUUGAGACUUGGAAAGAGAGAACUGGAAGAAAAGAUAGAAGUAAGUAAAGAGUUUGUUAAAAUGCUGAGACAGUAUGGUUCCCUUAAGAAAAAAACAUCAGAAGUUUUAAAACUUUCUUUGAUUACAAUCACAGUGUACCAUAAAUGGCAUAAUCAGUUAAACAUACAAUCAUUCCAUAUAAAAUUGUCAUGUCAUAUGUUAAUAUCAUUAUGCAUAUAUAUGUGACACCUUUAAUAAAAGAUUACUUACCUAUAUGUAUUGUUUAUUUUAAAAAAAACACAAUACUGGUACAAUACUGGAAUACAAUACUGGUACAAAAUUUUUAUACCAGUAUUGUGCACAAUACUAGUAUACCAGUAUUGCGAUCACCAACUACAGGAGAUCCGACAAAAGUUUCCAAUCUGUGUUUAUUUUGUAGAUGUAUACUUGUUUAUUAUAGUUACACCAAUUUAAUUUUGUAUCCAUAUUGAAUCAUAGAAAAAUGAGUAUGAACCGACCUCCAAACGAUCCAGGAUUCCAUUUAUAUGAGGAGUACCCAACUUGCAUCGGCCAGCUGGCCAUGCUUAAAUUCACAUCCUUAAGAAUUGAAUAACAGCUAGAUGUUUUGUUCCAUUUCUUCAAAUAUUUAGAACAAUUUGACAUUAGUCCAUGCUUGCUAUCCAUUUAAUAAGAAAUGAUGACUUUUUGAGAACAUCGCAUGACGACGAUUCCGUAGAUUUACUUUUUCCAGUGAAAGCUUCAUCUGUUGAUAUUUACUGUGAACGUUUUGUGUAUAUUUAAAUAUAUUCAGCUAUGUUAAAAGACAUGUGUAAUGUCAAAUCAUAAAAAUACUAAGUGUUUAUUCUUAAAGAAAACUUGUAAGAUUUCCACAGCUGUUUUUGUUGAUAUGUGCAAUUUGUGUACUUGGUGCAAUUUGGGUACUGUCACGUUAUAUCUCUUCUCUACAGAGCUAAGUAUUUAGUGACAAUCUAUUUUUGUAUUGGAUAAUGUAUCUGGUCUAAAAAAAAAAUAGUUUGCCACAAGUAUUUAGUGACAAUCUAUUCCUGUAUUAGAUGAUGUUUCUGGUGUGAUUUUUUUUAUUAUUUUACCACUGAAUGAAUCAACAAUCAAACUAUAUAAGUAGAUUGAAGUUAAAAAAAAUAUCUGGAAAAUUUACUAAAUCCCAAGACAGAAUGAAUAAUAUAAUUAUAACUUUUUUGUUAUGCCCCACUGCUAGUCAAAGGGGCAUUAACUUUUACUGUUGUCAUGAUGUCCAUCCAUACAUAUGUCUGUCUGUACAGAAAUUGGUUUCCAUUUUCUUACUUUAUUUGCACACAAUUAUUUUUUUCACAGAACACAGAUUAAUUUAUUAGAAUUUGAGUGGCAUCACUUUGACCGUUCGUGAGUUAUGCCCCUUUAUUAACGCAAAAAUUGCUGAAUCUUUCUUUUCUAGUCUCUAACUUUAGUUUGUCCCAACAAAUGUUAUAAAACUUAUACACUACUUAUUACCACAAAACACAGAUCAAGUUUGAAUUUGACUCCCGUCACUGUAACCGUUCUUGAGUUACAUGUAUUUAUGCUCCUUUAUUAUUAAAUAGAAAAAAUUGCCAAAUCUGUUGUGGAUCCGACAAACUUUUGUAUACAGAUUUUAUUUAUUUAGAUAUGAUUUACAAACUUCAGAAAAGGUUGAGAAGCAUUUUAAUUCUAGGGAAUUCCAACCUGAAGCAAGUUAUACCAAUGGAAUUGAUGGAAGCCCCCAAUAGAACACUGUGCAUAACUGGGGUUGCAACUUCACCAUCUGAUACAGCAUCUAGUUCAUCAAAGAUAACCUAUGCUGAAGUGGUGAGACUUCCUCUGCAUGCAACAGGUCAGACCAAACUAAAACCACGUUUGAUAAUAAGUGUAUGGAAAUGAAGAAAUCAAUUGGAGUCCCUACAUUUAAAAGGAGGAGUGUGUCUUCAGUUGAGAUUGGUAGAAAAAAAGAAAAAAACAGUUAGGACUCAUCUCACAGAUGAAGAAGUGGCACUUAUGAAACAGGAUACAGGGUAAAGACGAGUGAUCUAGUGUUUGGGGUCACCGAGGAUGUGGCUGUUGUCCUACCAAACAAAGCUUUACUGGAACAUAGUUUUUAUCAGGCAGAAUUCAGACAGACAGAGAUUCGUCAUUUCAGAUACCAAAUAAAGAAAAUGCUGUUGAGGAACAGGGGAGUUUCUGUGAUGAGAAUGAUACACAAAGAGCAUUUGAGUGUGAUGAAGUUGAGAGUAGUAUUUUAACCAAAAGAACAUCUGCCUUAACAACAGUGAAGGUUUUAGCGAGCAGGUGCUAUUUGGUGAUGUUGAAAGAAAUCCAGGACCUACAAUGGUUUAUCAAGACUAAUCUUAGUGCUUGCCAUACAAGUGUCAAAGAGUGAAGGGCAAGAACAAUUUUAAAGAACAGAGAAGACUUGUUUUAUUGCACUUAGUUUUGAGUUUUUGUUUUAUAUUUUACCACUAUGAUAGAGUAAUGUAACAUUCAGGAAAUGUAUUGUUCUGAUA